rnacentral:rRNA from 1 species
AGAACGAACGCUGGCGGCAGGCUUAACACAUGCAAGUCGAGCGCCGUAGCAAUACGGAGCGGCAGACGGGUGAGUAACGCGUGGGAACAUACCCUCCGGUUCGGAAUAACUCAGGGAAACUUGAGCUAAUACCGGAUACGGCUUAGCGGCGAAAGAUUUAUCGCCGGAGGAUUGGCCCGCGUCCGAUUAGCUAGUUGGUGUGGUAACGGCGCACCAAGGCGACGAUCGGUAGCUGGUCUGAGAGGAUGAUCAGCCACAUUGGGACUGAGACACGGCCCAAACUCCUACGGGAGGCAGCAGUGGGGAAUAUUGGACAAUGGGCGCAAGCCUGAUCCAGCCAUGCCGCGUGAGUGAUGAAGGCCUUAGGGUUGUAAAGCUCUUUCACCCACGACGAUAAUGACGGUAGUGGGAGAAGAAGCCCGGCUAACUUCGCGCCAGCAGCCGC